rnacentral:rRNA from 1 species
AUUGAACGCUGGCGGCCGGCCUAACACAUGCAAGUCGAACGAAUGGCGGAAGGGCGACUAAUGUCUGGGAAACUGCCUGAUGGAGGGGGUUAAGUACCGGAAACGUUAGCUAAUACUGCACACCACCAGAUCUGGCCAGAUGGGAUUCGCUGGUUGGUGUGGUAACGGCUCACCAAGGCGACGAUCCCUAGCUGGUCUGAGAGGAUGACCAGCCACACUGGAACUGAGACACGGGCCAGACUCCUACGGGAGUCAGCAGUGGGGAAUAUUGCACAAUGGGCGCAAGCCUGAUGCAGCGAUGCCGCGUGUAUGAAGAAGGCCUUCUGGUUGUAAAGUACUUUCAGCGGGGAGGCGUUACCCGAAGAAGAAGCACCGGCUAACUCCGUGCCAGCAGCCGCGGUAAUUC